GACGAACGCUGGCGGCGUGCUUAACACAUGCAAGUCGAACGGAAAGGCCCUUUUGGGGGUGUACGCGAGGCGAAAACGUGAGUAAAACGUGAGUAACCUGCCCCUGACUCCUGGAUAACUUCAGGAGACAGGGGCUAUUACAGGAUAGGAAUCCUAGCUGCAUGGUGGGGGUUGGAAAGUUUCGGCGGUGUUGGAUGGACUCGCGGCCUAUCAGCUUGUUGGUGGGGUAGUGGCUUACCAAGGCGUUGACGGGUAGCCGGCCUGAGAGGGUGAACGGCCACAUUGGGACUGAGAUACGGCCCAGACUCCUACGGGAGGCAGCAGUGGGGAAUAUUGCACAAUGGGCGGAAGCCUGAUGCAGCGACGCCGCGUGCGGGAUGACGGCCUUCGGGUUGUAAACCGCUUUCGGCAGGGGCGAAGCUUGUUGUGACGGUACCUACAGAAGAAGCACCGGCUAACUACGUG
rnacentral:rRNA from 1 species